rnacentral:rRNA from 1 species
CGGGGGGGCAAGCGUUGUUCGGAAUUACUGGGCGUAAAGGGCUCGUAGGCGGCCAACUAAGUCAGACGUGAAAUCCCCAGGCUCAGCCUGGGAACUGCGUCUGAUACUGGUUGGCUUGAAUCCGGGAGAGGGAUGCAGAAUUCCAGGUGUAGCGGUGAAAUGCGUAGAUAUCUGGAGGAAUACCGGUGGCGAAGGCGGCAUCCUGGACCGGCAUUGACGCUGAUGAGCGAAAGCCAGGGGAGCAAACGGGAUUAGAUACCCCGGUAGUCCUGGCCCUAAACGAUGAAUGCUUGGUGUAACGGGUAUCGAUCCCUGUUGUGCCGAAGCUAACGCAUUAAGCAUUCCGCCUGGGGAGUACGGUCGCAAGGCUG